rnacentral:misc_RNA from 1 species
GCUGAAGAACGCAGCGAAAUGCGAUACUUGGUGUGAAUUGCAGAAUCCCGUGAACCAUCGAGUCUUUGAACGCAAGUUGCGCCCGAAGCCAUUAGGCCGAGGGCACGCCUGCCUGGGCGUCACACGUCGUUGCCCCCCCAUCUACUCCUUCGGGAUUGCGGGGGGCGGAUGAUGGCCUCCCGUGCGCCUCGUCGCGCGGUUGGCAUAAAUGCCAAGUCCUCGGCGACGCACGCCACGACAAUCGGUGGUUGCGAAACCUCGGUUGCCCGUCGUGUGCGGUCGUCGCGCAUCGAGGGCUCGAAAAAAUUGCCGGGCUCCGGCUCGGCUUUCAACGCGACCCCAGGUCAGGCGGGGUUACCCGCUGAAUUUAAGCAUAUCAAUAAGCGGAGGA